rnacentral:rRNA from 1 species
GACGAACGCUGGCGGCGUGCCUAAUACAUGCAAGUCGAACGAGAGCGCCCGGUGCUUGCACUGGUCAAUCUAGUGGCGAACGGGUGAGUAACACGCGGGUAACCUGCUCAUCAGAGGGGGAUAACAUCCGGAAACGGAUGCUAAAACCGCAUAGGUCUUCGAGCCGCAUGGCUUGAAGAGGAAAAGAGGCGCAAGCUUCUGCUGGUGGAUGGACCCGCGGUGCAUUAGCUAGUUGGUGAGGUAACGGCUCACCAAGGCCGUGAUGCAUAGCCGACCUGAGAGGGUGAUCGGCCACAUUGGGACUGAGACACGGCCCAAACUCCUACGGGAGGCAGCAGUAGGGAAUCUUCCGCAAUGGACGCAAGUCUGACGGAGCAACGCCGCGUGAGUGAAGAAGGUUUUCGGAUCGUAAAACUCUGUUGUUAGAGAAGAACAAGUGCUAGAGUAACUGUUAGCGCCUUGACGGUAUCUAACCAGAAAGCCACGGCUAACUACGUG